rfam:Fukomys damarensis contig131054, whole genome shotgun sequence.
GGGAAACAGGCAGAGGGGCCAGCCUCAGGCCCUGUAACAAACUUUUGGGGCA